UCUUUGGUGACUACGUUGGUGGGGAACAUC
rnacentral:piRNA from 1 species